rnacentral:rRNA from 1 species
UACGGGGGGGGCAAGCGUUGUUCGGAAUUACUGGGCGUAAAGGGCUCGUAGGCGGCCAACUAAGUCAGACGUGAAAUCCCCAGGCUCAACCUGGGAACUGCGUCUGAUACUGGUUGGCUUGAAUCCGGGAGAGGGAUGCAGAAUUCCAGGUGUAGCGGUGAAAUGCGUAGAUAUCUGGAGGAAUACCAGUGGCGAAGGCGGGUCUCUGGACAGUUCCUGACGCUGAGGCACGAAGGCCAGGGGAGCAAACGGG